rnacentral:rRNA from 1 species
UCGAGGGGCAGCGGGGAGCAAGCUUGCUUGCUCUGCCGGCGACCGGCGCACGGGUGAGUAACACGUAUGCAACCUGCCCUCCGCAGGGGGAUAACCCGGAGAAAUCCGGACUAAUACCGCGUGGUACAUCUGUGGGGCAUCCCACGGGUGUUAAAAGGAAGCGAUUCCGGCGGAGGAUGGGCAUGCGGCGCAUUAGCUUGUUGGCGGGGUAACGGCCCACCAAGGCGACGAUGCGUAGGGGUUCUGAGAGGAAGGUCCCCCACACUGGUACUGAGACACGGACCAGACUCCUACGGGAGGCAGCAGUGAGGAAUAUUGGUCAAUGGGCGGGAGCCUGAACCAGCCAAGUCGCGUGAGGGAAGACGGUCCUAUGGAUUGUAAACCUCUUUAGGCGGGGAGCAAUGCCGGGCACGCGUGCCCGGAGGGAGAGUACCCGCAGAAUAAGCAUCGGCUAACUCCGUGCCAGCAGCCGCGGUAAUACGGAGGAUGCGAGCGUUAUCCGGAUUUAUUGGGUUUAAAGGGUGCGUAGGCGGAUUUUUAAGUCAGCGGUAAAAUGUCCGGGCUCAACCCGGGCCGGCCGUUGAAACUGGGGAUCUUGAGUGGGCGAGAAGUAUGCGGAAUGCGUGGUGUAGCGGUGAAAUGCAUAGAUAUCACGCAGAACUCCGAUUGCGAAGGCAGCAUACCGGCGCCCGACUGACGCUGAGGCACGAAAGCGUGGGGAUCGAACAGGAUUAGAUACCCUGGUAGUCCACGCAGUAAACGGUGAAUGCUAGUUGUCCGGUUCUUU